rnacentral:rRNA from 1 species
UGCCUUACACAUGCAAGUCGAACGGCAGCACGGGUGCUUGCACCUGGUGGCGAGUGGCGAACGGGUGAGUAAUACAUCGGAACAUGUCCUGUAGUGGGGGAUAGCCCGGCGAAAGCCGGAUUAAUACCGCAUACGAUCUGAGGAUGAAAGCGGGGGACCUUCGGGCCUCGCGCUAUAGGGUUGGCCGAUGGCUGAUUAGCUAGUUGGUGGGGUAAAGGCCUACCAAGGCGACGAUCAGUAGCUGGUCUGAGAGGACGACCAGCCACACUGGGACUGAGACACGGCCCAGACUCCUACGGGAGGCAGCAGUGGGGAAUUUUGGACAAUGGGCGAAAGCCUGAUCCAGCAAUGCCGCGUGUGUGAAGAAGGCCUUCGGGUUGUAAAGCACUUUUGUCCGGAAAGAAAUCCUUGGUUCUAAUAUAGCCGGGGGAUGACGGUACCGGAAGAAUAAGCACCGGCUAACUACGUGCCNGCAGCCGCGGUAAUACGUAGGGUGCAAGCGUUAAUCGNAAUUACUGGGCGUAAAGCGUGCGCAGGCGGUUUGCUAA